rnacentral:lncRNA from 1 species
UGGCCUACAGCGACCUAUGCUCGAUAGAAGCUGUCAUCCUUAUUAACAGCCUAUCAUUUGGUCGUGAACAGUUUUAAGGACUAAUCGAUAAAUCCUCUCUUUAUCGAAUCUAAAUAGUCCUAAGGACUUCAUCAUAACAACGGAGUUCAUUAGAAGAUGAAAGCUUAUGAUGAAAAUGCCAAAUAUAUUUUAUUAACAAAUCAAUUACAAUACUUGGUUGCUCAACCGUCAACAGCUUGACGAUUGGCUUUUUGGGACACAUUUCCCA